ACCAUCCAGGCUUGAGUGACCAAUCCUAGCUCUAGUCUCAGCAACAUGAACCAGCAGGUGAACAUGAUCCUCUAACCAUCCAUGCUUGAGUGACCAAUCCUACCUUUAAGUAGAUUCAUUGAAGGAUCAUUUACACAGCUGGGACCUGUCCUUCAAGAGUUUGGCUUUGAAUACACUUCCAGUAAAUAUGGAGUCAUGAGCUAAAGUGUCUUGUGUUUCUGGAGUCAUUUGCAAAGGCACCAUGGCUUGAAAUUGCUGAAGAUUUAACAAAUUGGAUUCUUCUUGUAUUCCUUUCAGUGUUGUGUUUACUGUGGCCUUUCUUGGAGAUGAAGUUACCUGGCUUAAGGAGCAUAGGCAAAGGAACAUCAGUGAGCCAAGCAGGGUGAAGAGGUUCCUGUCUACCGUGGUCCUUGGAGGGGCUUCACCUCACAGACCUGGCCAGUACAAGCAGGGUGCUCCAAAGCAGUGGUUCCUGUCUACCGUGGUCCUUGGAGGGGCUUCACCUCACAGACUUGGCCAGUACAAGCAGGGUGCUCCAAAGCAGUGGUUCCUGUCUACCGUGGUCCUUGGAGGGGCUUCACCUCACAGACUUGGCCAGUACAAACAGGGUGCUGCAAAGCUCAAAUAUUAGAUUUGCAGAAAGUAUCCAGCAUUGCCCAUACAUAGUAAACAGGAUUUCAGGCUUGCCAUGUAGAUGUUUUUAGUCAAAGGGAAAAGUAAAUUUUGCACGACAGCUUCGGUAUCAAGGGUGUAUAAAUGUCUCUAGAAAAAGAAGUAAUCUUAUUUUAAAGCGUAGCUGCAAUACAGUAUGUUUGAAAACAAUUUUGGGGGAACUUUGUAAGCUUGUUUGAUGUGUUUUUACAUUCCUGUUUGGUUACAUGCAUUGAAAAAGGCACCUUUUUAACACUUGAAAUCAUCCAAGCUUUUCUGGACAACUGAGGGCGCUAUUGCUAUGAAGUCCAGUCUAAUAAAGGGUCUGAUAAAGGAAUUAAUGCUUGCUUUUUGCUAUGAACAAAAAACAACAAUGAAUCAGUGAAGAGGAGAAAUUUGUGUCCUGCAAAAUCUACAAAAAUAAAGGACUUCUUUUGAGAACAAACCAUCCAACAUUGAGGCUUUCUUCCUGAGAUGAUGUUACACUUUUACUGUAGUCAUAAAGGCCAAGGGAAAUGCUAAUUAGCAUUAAAACCUAAAAGACAGUAAAUUACCCUUUGAAAUACUGAAAGAAAAGCCAGAAAUCAGGUCAACUGAGAAAAUUAGGAUGCAUUUGGAAGGUUUGUAUUCAAACAAAUUGAUUGCAGCUACCCUUCAAGUUGGUUUCCAAUCAUGAUCAUUUAGUUUACCAAAUAAUCAGUAUUUUGCAUUCUGUGCAUUAGAUAGACUAAUUUGUGCACUCAAUAUUGUACGUUCAAAAACUGUCAAAAUCUGUCAAAUUGUUGGUGACUGCACAAAAUCAUAGUUAUGCCUUAAGCUAUUAAAUGUCGAUAGAUUAGAACUCUUUGAAAUCUUGAAGCUUGGAAAAGCUGGGCUGGUAUUUAUCAAAAUUUUCAAUUUUUCAAGCUUUUUCAAAAUACAAAAGCAGGCAUUGUAAAUUCCUGAUAUUCCAAGUUACAAGUAGCUGGAACAAGAGGCUUGUUACUACCAAAUUUUCUCAGAGAUGCCUCUGAUUGAAAGAAAUUUCCAUGUCCACCGGAUCUUUCUCAAAGUGAUGUUACUUUAUGCUAGUUGAUUUUUUCUGACAGAUACAUAUACAUAAUAUUAAAAUGAAUAAUUUGAAGCAGUUAGUAUAGAAGUGCUUACACUUGAUUGACGUAUGAAUUUAUAUUAAACUGAAUACAUCAAAUUUAGUACUUAUCAGUCCGUUUCUACCCUCA